ACAUAUCAAUAAAUGCUGGCGCAGUAAAGUCCACACCAGAGUCCAUUGUCCAUAUAAGAAUGUCAUUGAACAUUCUCAUAGCGGGAUUUUUGCCUCGGGAAGGAAGUAUAUUCUUGCCUUCCACGUCUUGUUACAUAAAACUUACCCCAUGUGGAAACUUUCUUAUCGUUAACAUGAGCCCAAAUUGACAUCUUACCGCUAAAGC